rnacentral:misc_RNA from 1 species
GAUGAAGCACGUAGCGAAAUGCGAUACUUGGUGUGAAUUGCAGAAUCCCGUGAACCAUCGAGUCUUUGAACGCAAGUUGCGCCCGAAGCCAUCAGGUUGAGGGCACGUCUGCCUGGGCGUCACAUAUCGUUGCCCAAUGCCUAUUGCAGUGCAAUAGGAAUUUCUAGGGCGAAUGAUGGCUUCCCGUGAGCGUUGUUGCCUCGCGGUUGGUUGAAAAUCGAGUCCUUGGUAGGGUGUGCCAUGGUAGAUGGUGGUCGAGUUAGAACGAUACCGAUCAUGUGCAUGCUCCCCAAAAUAUGGCCUCUAUGACCCACACGCGUCUUUUGACGCUCAUGACGAGACCUCAGGUCAGGCGGGGCUACCAGCUGAAUUUAAGCAUAUCAAUAAGCGGAGGA